CUAAAAAAUCAACCAAUAGAAAAGAGUUAUUUUGCCAUGUCAUAUGAGCUUCGUUGGAAAAUGAUAAUUAUCGAGACUUUCGUGUGGGCUUAUGAUAUUUGGCCCAGUCAAACCCACUUCUGGAAAUGGCUCACAAACUUUCUCUUCUCAGUUUCGGAUCCUUGGAAAUCUCCGUUACACGCAACACUUCCUUUAUCAAUCAAUUAUCUUUUACUCUUUUCUUUAUGGUCUCAUUUCACCUCCCUAUUAUCUUCUCCUAUAAAAAUCGUUUCUUCCAAACUUUAAUUCAACCAAAAUUGAAAGCUAUGGCCAUGAGAAAUAAAUAAUUCAGAGUCUCUUGCUCUUCCUCUACUCUUUGUACCCGGUAAUCAAACCCCACAGUAUUCAUAGCUAUAGGAACGGCGAAAUCCACCGCCACAGCCCCGGCUUAAUUUUAUAAGGAUGUGAUCGUUUACCACCAAGUUUGCUUGCUUACAUGGCUGCAGCUUUAUAACUCGUGCCAUGUUUGUCAUACGAGUUCAUGACUCAUGGAGGUCAGACCAGUGGGGAAGACAGACAACGAACGGUUGAGAGUUCGCCGACUCCGAGGAGGUUUAGUUUAUCAUAUCCAUGGCCACUCAAGAGACAUGAUACGAAUUAGGAUUCUGGGAGUGGAUCUGAUAUCGAUACUACGUAGGAUGAAUUGGAUUGAGAAAUUCAUGGCAUACAAUGAAAUUCUCAAAACAUUUGAAGAUCAAGAGGAGUUAAAAGAGGUUUGACCUUCAAAUGCUUGCAAGAAGGCGGAUCAAUGGGUAGCUUUUCGAAUAUACUCUGUAGACAUUCCUUUUACCUGUUCUCCUCUCCAAUAUUUGUGUUGCCACUUGCCAGUGGCCCAGUGUUAACAAUGGUGGCUUCCCUUAACCCACGUCUGUUAUUCUCCUCAACUAACAAAAUGUGUUUCAUGUAGCAUUUAAAGCACUGAAUUUUUCUCAGGGUUAUGGAAAUGGGGAAGAAGCUUGCAGAGAGGAUAAGGAGCAAAGGGCCUUACAUUGUCCUGAGUGUAUGUACGUUAAUCAUUUCACUCUCACUAUUGAAGCUUCUUAUUUUUUUGUUGUUGUUGCACAUACAGCUGUAAGACUAAUAUUAUUAUAUAUUACUUUUUUUAUAAUUGGGUAUAAUAUGCUUACGUGAUAUAAUAGUUCAAAUAAGAAUAUAUAUAUGAUUUAUAAAAUUUGAUUGUUACUGCUCUCAAUGGUGUAUAUAUGUUACUUUGUCUUAUUUAUUUUCCCUGCAGCUAAUUGUGGCUUUGAAAAUUCAUUUUCUACACCGAAGAAAAGAAGAAGCCAGUGACUGUUUUAGCGUGUUGUUGUCUUCUAAGCUCUGUAAAUGUUUAUAAAACUGGUGUUUUGAUGAUUAUGUGCCUCACAUUGUUUUUGUUUUUAUGGAUAGGUUGAAUCACAGCUCAUUGAAUAAAAAAAAUACCCAACUCCGUAUUUUCGAAUGGUCUUACAUAACUGUCUCCAGUGGGAUCAGUGGCCUUAUGCUACUGUCGAUAUACUACAGAUUCCACCAACGCCAUAUCUACAAAGCCAAAAAGGAGGAAGAUGAACAUGACAACUUGAAGCCAGCCUCUAUCGCUGGGGGUGGAAACUGCAGCAAAUCAUAGUAGACACUACAAGGUACUCGCAUGUAAACACUACAUCCUUUGUAUUACGUCUUCUUUGUUGUUUUUGUUAUUCUCCCUUUCUUUAAAUGGAAUCUUAUUAGAUGUUUCCAAAUGAAAUUUGGUAGUUCAUCACAAAACUUCUCUAUUUCAUUGACAAAGGGGAGUCAUUCACCCAUGAUGUUUUAUCGUUACAUGGAUUCCAGUUUUAUUCAUUUGAAACUCUGAUACAUGCUUACCGAACAAAAUAAUGUAUAGCGACAUUUGUAUAUAUUAGUGAAUUAAACAUUUUACA